rnacentral:rRNA from 1 species
AUUGAACGCUGGCGGCAUGCUUUACACAUGCAAGUCGAACGGUAACAGGCCUUCGGGUGCUGACGAGUGGCGAACGGGUGAGUAAUGCAUCGGAACGUGCCCAGAGGUGGGGGAUAACGCAGCGAAAGCUGUGCUAAUACCGCAUGUGAUCUGAGGAUGAAAGCGGGGGACCAAGCAGCAAUGUUUGGCCUCGCGCCUCUGGAGCGGCCGAUGUCAGAUUAGGUAGUUGGUGGGGUAAAGGCCUACCAAGCCGACGAUCUGUAGCUGGUCUGAGAGGACGACCAGCCACACUGGGACUGAGACACGGCCCAGACUCCUACGGGAGGCAGCAGUGGGGAAUUUUGGACAAUGGGCGCAAGCCUGAUCCAGCAAUGCCGCGUGCGGGAAGGAGGCCUUCGGGUUGUAAACCGCUUUUGUACGGAACGAAAAGGCUCUGGCUAAUACCUGGGGCUGAUGACGGUACCGUAAGAAUAAGCACCGGCUAACUACGUGCCAGCAGCCGCGGUAAUACGUAGGGUGCGAGCGUUAAUCGGAAUUACUGGGCGUAAAGCGUGCGCAGGCGGUCUUGUAAGACAGAGGUGAAAUCCCUGGGCUCAACCUAGGAAUGGCCUUUGUGACUGCAAGGCUGGAGUGCGGCAGAGGGGGAUGGAAUUCCGCGUGUAGCAGUGAAAUGCGUAGAUAUGCGGAGGAACACCGAUGGCGAAGGCAGUCCCCUGGGCCUGCACUGACGCUCAUGCACGAAAGCGUGGGGAGCAAACAGG